rnacentral:rRNA from 1 species
AGAGUUUGAUCCUGGCUCAGGAUGAACGCUAGCGACAGGCCUAACACAUGCAAGUCGAGGGGCAGCGGAGAGGUAGCAAUACCUUUGCCGGCGACCGGCGCACGGGUGAGUAACACGUAUGCAAUCCACCUGUAACAGGGGGAUAACCCGGAGAAAUCCGGACUAAUACCCCAUAAUAUGGGCGUUCCGCAUGGAGAGCUCAUUAAAGAGAGCAAUUUUGGUUACAGACGAGCAUGCGCUCCAUUAGCCAGUUGGCGGGGUAACGGCCCACCAAAGCGACGAUGGAUAGGGGUUCUGAGAGGAAGGUCCCCCACAUUGGAACUGAGACACGGUCCAAACUCCUACGGGAGGCAGCAGUGAGGAAUAUUGGUCAAUGGACGAGAGUCUGAACCAGCCAAGUAGCGUGAAGGAUGACUGCCCUAUGGGUUGUAAACUUCUUUUAUAAAGGAAUAAAGUCGGGUAUGGAUACCCGUUUGCAUGUACUUUAUGAAUAAGGAUCGGCUAACUCCGUGCCAGCAGCCGCGGUAAUACGGAGGAUCCGAGCGUUAUCCGGAUUUAUUGGGUUUAAAGGGUGCGUAGGCGGCCUUUUAAGUCAGCGGUGAAAGUCUGUGGCUCAACCAUAGAAUUGCCGUUGAAACUGGGGGGCUUGAGUAUGUUUGAGGCAGGCGGAAUGCGUGGUGUAGCGGUGAAAUGCAUAGAUAUCACGCAGAACCCCGAUUGCGAAGGCAGCCUGCUAGGGUGAAACAGACGCUGAGGCACGAAAGCGUGGGUAUCGAACAGGAUUAGAUACCCUGGUAGUCCACGCAGUAAACGAUGAAUACUAACUGUUUGCGAUACAAUGUAAGCGGUACAGCGAAAGCGUUAAGUAUUCCACCUGGGGAGUACGCCGGCAACGGUGAAACUCAAAGGAAUUGACGGGGGCCCGCACAAGCGGAGGAACAUGUGGUUUAA